rnacentral:rRNA from 1 species
GACGAACGCUGGCGGCGUGCCUAAUACAUGCCAGUUGAGCGCUGAAGGUUGGUACUUGUGCCAACUGGAUGAGCAGCGAACGGGUGAGUAACGCGUGGGGAAUCUGCCUUUGAGCGGGGUACAACAUUUGGAAACGAAUGCUAAUACCGCAUAAAAACUUUAAACACAAGUUGUAAGUUUGAAAGAUGCAAUUGCAUCACUCAAAGAUGAUCCCGCGUUGUAUUAGCUAGUUGGUGAGGUAAAGGCUCACCAAGGCGAUGAUACAUAGCCGACCUGAGAGGGUGAUCGGCCGCAUUGGGACUGAGACCCGGCCCAAAGUCCUACGGGAGCCAGCAGUAGGGAAUCUUCGGCAAUGGACGAAAGUCUGACCGAGAAACGCCGCGUGAGUGAAGAAGGUUUUCGGAUCGUAAAACUCGGUUGGUAGAGAAGAACGUUGGUGAGAGUGGAAAGCUCAUCAAGUGACGGUAACUACCCAGAAAGGGACGGCUAACUACGUG